rnacentral:lncRNA from 1 species
UUAUCAGUUGUCACAGUCUUCCCUUGAGGUAUCAGGAUGAUAGCAGUGGCCCAAAUGUCAUUGCCCUUAUAGCUUCUCAUGACUUGAUCCACUGUCAGCUCUUGCAGCACAGUUUGGUCAGUAACUAGCACCCCCUGUAGUUUAGUGUUCUUUUCCUUAUAUUGGAACUCUAUCCAUUUUUCCUUCCAAUGACAGGUCAUGGCCCCCCAUUGCUCAACGAAUCCAUCCCCAGAAUCAAGUCAUGCCCACCCAAAUCAACCAGUUUGGUUGAAUAAGAGAAAGUAUGGCCUUGGAGCCACCAAGUCAAGGCAGGUACUUCCGAGGUACAAGGCAGUGUUUCUCCAUUGGCCACCUUCACAGUUAAAGGUUGUGGUAGUUUCCUUGUUUCAGCACCAAUUCGGGGUAGCAGUGACGUGUCAAUGGAACUGUGAGUGCUCCUUGAGUCCAGCAAGAUUAGCACCACCUGAUUGCCCACCAGUGCUCUGAAUCUGAUUGUUUUUGGGUGUUCUGCCCCAGAGAGCAGCAGCUCUUCUUCCACUGCUUCUUGUACUGCUAUGGCAUCCAGUACUGCAUCUGGAAUUCUGUCUAGGUCUUCCUGGCCAGAAGUCAUAGCAUGGGCCUGAGCAGCAACUGGAGUUUGGGUAGCACACACAUGUCGUGGAGCAAAUUUUCUCCACAGCUGAAACAAAGCCCAUGUGUGCGUCUAUAAUCUUUCAGCUGUCUUGCUUUCCAAAGAUCACCUGCCACCGUCGGCUGCUGUUUGCCAUCCCCUUUUGUGAAGCUGUUCCUGGACUGAAACUUGCCAGAUUUCUGUCUUGUUAAAGUAGCUUCCUGAACUGUUGCAAAUGCUGCUGCUGCUGCUAUAGUUACAGGAAAUUGAAUUUCCACGGCACCCUUCAAUUCCUCCUUGAGACCCAAAAUGAACCGUGCCACCAGAAACGUGUCACUGCAGGUUCAUACAGUUUGAUCUGAUACACCAAUUGAAGGAAGUCUCUCUUGUAUUCCUCUAUAGAACCCUUUUGCUUCAACAACAAUAAGGCAUGCAUGGUCUCUCUGUGUACAUUGACAUCAAACUCGGCCAUGACUGCAUCCUUGAAUUGAUCCCAGUCCACCCAUCCAGCUAAUAACUUGAAAGCGUGGUACCAAUGCGCCGCAACGCCCUCGAGAUGUAAAGUGGCUGAUGUAACCUUGAAAUUCUUCGGAAUAUCAUACAAGGAAAAAAAUGCCUCACACCCGUCGAGCCAUAUGCGUACAUCAGACCCAUCAAACUUGGGGAAAUUCAUCUUUGGUAGCCACGGUCGACGCGCUGACGACGACACGUCGCGGCCGUGAGCGGUGUCAGGUUGAUGUUGCGAGAAGCUGGGCUUGGGAAUCUGUAAGGGUGGUGGAGGGGGAUGUGGUGGUGGCGAAGGAAUGAUCCCCUCCUGCUGCCUUGCUGAUGGCGAGCUUGGAAUCGUAGUGGCCUUUGCCCUUCCGCCGCUGCCACUUGCUCCUGCCUGACAUCAGCAAUCAAAUUCAUCGUCAGGUUUACCGUCGCCUGCACCGUGUCGAUCCGCCCUAUUUGCUUCUCCAUCUGCUUGUCCAGAGCAUCCAACCGCGAGGAAAUUGCAUCGAUCCCCUCCACCUUGUCCUUGACGAACUUGAGGGCUUGUAGUUCCUUCAUGAUGCGCUCCUCAAACGCCUCCAUCGCGGAGUGCACCUGCCUCGCCUGCGCGCUAGGCUUGGAUGACGUUGUCAUUGCUCUAAAGGAAUUACGCAGAUCAAGAGCUUCCACUACCUCCAAGCUGUCUGAGCUCACCAAGAUCUUGCUGCAUCCGACAGUUCUUGCAAGGUUCAGCCCAAACCUUGACAGCCAGGGCUUCUGCUGUGAAAGAGUCAAAGCAAAUGUCUACUUUUUCAUUCGCUGUCGCUAUGAACUGUCCACUCUGGUCACGAAUGACUGCCCCCACAGAUCCUUCAAGUAGAUCUUGGUCAAACCCCGCAUCGACAUUCAAUUUCAUGUAUCCCAUUGGCGUUUUUUCCCAAACUCCAGACCGAGCUUUGGCCUUUGGUGGACAUGCAAUACUGAAAUUUGCCUUUUGCAUUCUAGUCUCUUGGCAUCCUCCUAUAGCCUUUUGGCAUCCUCAUCUGUGUGUAUAUAUGUUGGCAUUGGCCUCCUAAUAAUAUAUGUUGCAUAUUCCUAACAUGGUAGCAGAGCCUUCGGAUUUUAUUCGCACGCCACAACUCGUGCUCGAUCCUCUCUUUGCGCCGCCGUCGUCUCUUUGCCGGCUGUCAUUGCCCUCCCUACCCGCUAUGUUCAUCGCUGCUUUGGCUGUUGCUGUCCACGCGACGUCUCACCUCCACGUUCUGGCCUGAUGUGCUCCAAUCCUGCGUGCCGCACGGCUCAAUCCGAUCUUCCGCCUACUGGUUAACCUCCGUUGGCUGAUUUGCUAGAGAAUUCUGCACUCUACAUACACCUGUUCCGGAUUACAAGUCCCGUGGGCUCAAGUCAAAACUCCAUAUGUGCUCAUCGAUCACGCUGUGAAGUCUGCCGCUACUGCUCGCGUUGUCGGCUGCUGGUAUUUGCUGCAUCUCGCCCAAUAUUGUCGGAUUCAGCCACUCCCGCUCGUGAAUGCUCGUUGCUCGCCGGAUUUAGCCACUCCCGCUGGUCAACGCCCGCUGCUUGAUCCGCCAGUUGCUCCUUCCCGAUUGCUGCUUCGCCUGGUCGGGUGCUGCUGGUUCUGUUUCGAUCGAACCUGCUUUGAUUGGAUCGAGCGCUCACUUGGUUCCGCCCCUCUGGAUCGAUCUGGUCCUCAUUCGGCUGGCCUCCCGUCAGGAUCGAGCGCUCACCUGGGUCUGCGUCGCUGCCGCCGGCCCCGUCCGCGCCGCUGCUGCCUUCUGCGGCGCCACCGGUCGCUGGCCCCAUCUGCGCUGCUACUACCGGCCCUGUCCUCCGCGACGCUGUUGUCUUGCGCGGCUGCCUGCGGGGCACUCGCGUGGUUAUGUGAGUGGCUGCUGCCGUUUCUUGUCCGGGUGUCUACUGCUCCAGAUCAUGACUGUCUAAUCGAUUUGGUCCUGGUUCGAAUGGCUUUUUGUCUGAUUGAUCUGCUGCUGGUUCUGGCCGCUCUCACCUUGGCCAGUUGAGUCUUUGUGACAGAAAAGUUGCACUAUGUCUUUGGCAUCAUCUGGCUACGUUGCCAUCCCGCUCUGCCUAGUGAUAUUCGAUGGGGCUAACUUACUGAGUUCGUUGCCUUUAUGCGCAUUCACAUGCGUGGCAUUCGUCUGGGGUGUUCUUUCCGGUGAGGUCCCUGUCCUCCGUGCCCAGUGCCUCUUGUGGCUCCUACCCCACCGCCGAUGCCAUCGGCUAUUGACACAGAUGCUUCUGAUGUUGAUAGGGCUGCAGCCACAAUUGCUGCUGAUGAUGCAGCUGCCACUUAUGACCAGGAGGUCUUGGAUUAUUCAAAUGCUCUUUCUGUUUAUCGUGACAAUCUAGCUGCUUACACUCAGCGGUGUGAUGAUGAUGCUCGUGUUGCGACUGUUCUCACUCCCAGUGUUUUGCCUCAGUUUGCUUCUGAGUUUAUAGGCCUUAGUACUGUCUUUGAGAUGUGAACUCAUCUUCGUUAGCGCUAUCAGCCCUCUGGUGAUGCUCUCUACUUGUCUGUGGUCCGUCAGGAGCAUGCUCUUCAGCAGGGAGACUCCACUAUUGAUGAGUUCUACACUCAGAGUUCUGCUGUCUGGCGCCUGCUUGACUCCCUUCGCACUACUGUUUGUGGCACUUGCCAGACUGUGAGGUCACUGGCGACGAUUCUGAGUACAUUGCAUUUGUUAAGGCCUGUCUUAAUGAGUAGUUCCUUAUGUCUGAUCUUGGUCCUCUUCGUUACUUUCUUGGGAUUGAGGUUUCCUCCACCUCUGCUGGCUUUUUAUUUUCCAAGAAAAGUAUAUCUAGAGCCUUAUUACUCGUGCGGCUCUUAGUGAUGAGCGCACUGCUGAGACUCCUAUGGAGCUCAAUGUUCACCUUCGUGCUUCUGAUGGUGAGCCCUUGUCUGAUCCGACACGUUAUCGUCAUCUUGUUGGGAGUCUUGUGUAUCUUGCUGUCACUCGUUCGGAUAUCUCUUAUCCUGUCCAUAUUCUGAGUCAAUUUGUUUCUGCUCCCACUUCAGUUCACUAUAGUCACCUUCUUUGCGUUCUACGAUAUCUUCGUGGCACGCUCUCUCAUCGUCUCUUUUCCCCUCGUUCCAGCUCCAGGCCUAUUCGGAUGCUACGUGGGCUAGUGAUCCUACGGAUCGCCGUUCACUUUCUUUCUACUAUGUCUUUCUGGGUAGUUCCCUCAUUUCCUGGAAGACGAAGAAACAAAUUGCAGUUUCUCGUUCGAGUGCAAAGGCCGAGUUGCGAGCUAUGGCUCUUCUUACGGCUGAGAUGACUUGGUUACGAUGGUUACUGGAGGAUUUUGGUGUUUCUGUUACUACACCUACCACCCUCCUGUCAGACAACACAAGUGCUAUUAGUAUUGCGCGAGACGGCGUGAAGCAUGAGCUUACCAAACACAUUGGUGUUGAUGCUUCUUAUGUGCGCGCUGCUGUGCAGGAUCAUGUUGUUGCGCAACAUGGAUUUCACCCCUCCACACUCAGUGUUGUGGAUCCACCAUGAGUUUGAGGGGGGGUGUUAGGGUUAUAUUAAGUGAUGUCUUUUGGCCUUUUGCAUUCUAGUCUCUUGGCAUCCUCUUGUAGCAUUUUGGCAUCCUCAUGUAUGUGUAUAUAUGUUGGCAUUGGCCUCCUAAUAGUAUAUGUUGCAUAUUCCUAACACAGGUGACGGCGCGGCGGGUGGCGGGAGGCUGGGCGACGGCGGGAGAGGUCUGCCUUGGCUCCACGGAAGGGAAGGCGUGCCGUGGCUCUAUCUUCUAUCGACUUCUAAGGACUUGAGUAUCAAUAUCUCAAUAGGGAGGCUUGUUAUCACCGGUAUCGUCAAUAGCAUCUCAUCAGUUGGCUAAAUGGCCGAAGAUUUCUUCAACGGCAACAGGCCCAUGGUUACCAAGGAUGGGAAAGACCUGACUUCUGCACUCGAGGUGUUCGUGAACUGGUGUAUCACAGAGGUGCAAAACAAGAUCCAGAGAAGUUUUCAUCCGUCUUCGAGUAACAGGCCCCUCAAGAAGGUAGUGGUUACUAUUCAGAGUUUGCUGGCUACGCGCCCGGAUCCUGUUCUGAUUGGGUCACUUUUUGCUGGUUCAACGGAGGAGCUGGAGGUGUUAAUCAAGAUAUUAUCAGUUCAGCUGGACAUGGUGCUGUUUUAUACCAUGGGAGCAGCUGGGGAUAUGUACUUCGUCUGGCGGGAUCUCCCCAUCGAUCCCAAGCUCUUUCGCGAGAAUAUGCAUCAAAGUUUGGAUAGGGCUCGACAAUCGGCUCAGAAUAUCAAGGGGGCUGUGGAUCUUAUGACCAGGAUUGAGUCUUUUCUUGUUGCAGCACCAGGUAAUAUACGUCGCUUUUUGUCUUUUCGCCACUUUGUCCCAUCGGCCGAGUAAGGCAGGUAUGUGCUACAGACUUAGUAUCCCAAUUUUUCAUUCAGCCUAUCUGUAAGUAGAAAUAGAGAAAUUACUAAAAACCCCAUAAAGUGUGUUGCUUCAGCCUUCUCACUUCACAAGUUAUUGCUGGAGUAGAAUAUCUUCGGCAUCCACCUCAGAAAGCAGCUCCUUCACAAGUCGUUCAUUCCAGGAUUUUGUAUAUACCAAAAAGCAAUAGCUUCGACACUUUGUUUAUAGAAAUAUCCCUUUUUUAUAUAUCUCCAAAGGAUGCCUGCAGCCACUUUGAGGGAGCAAGUUAUUCUUCCAAAUAUACACCUUAUCACAGCUAACUACCCUGCAGUUCAGGCCCCCCUUCAUAAGAAUACUAUUGCCCUCUAGAAUGUUAGGCCAUGUUAGCGAACCAUUCCUUGGAGCUUUUGGAGCCUUAGGACCUAGCACAUAUUGAAUCUGGACAGAGUAGCAACCUCCAACUUUUUGACGUGCUAAAAGGGCUUGAUUUAAAAGUGCCAUGUCCUGAAAACCCACUCUGCCCCAUUUCUUUGCAAAACACAACCUCUCUCAGCUUAUCCAAUGCACCUUCCUCUGUGGAUCUUCCAACCAUGGUUGGCAAGCCAAGAUAUUUCUCAUUGACGACUUCGUUCUCAAUGCCACAAGAAUUCUUCAGAGCACCUUUGCCUUUUCUGGCACUCCAGAGCCAAAAUAAAUUGAUGGUUUUGGGAGAUUAACUUUCUAGCUACGUUGUGGUACAUAUUCUUGCACUAAGCCUAACCUGCCAGGACCUGUAGCAAAACUAUCUUGUCUGUCUACUACGGUUAACAAGAUCAUCUCACCAAUCUCCAAUAAUUCCUUUGGUGCUUACCCCAAGUUUUUAUCUCACCUAAUAAGCCAAAAUGCAAAGGUGCUCACAUGCAUGUCUAAUCUAUGCUAAAGCGCACACAACUAUUGCUUCCCUGCAAACAUCAGCACAUAGGGUUUUUCUCUUGAUGAAAAACCAAGCAGCCAUCAGACAAGAUACACAGCAUACCUAAGCUCGAGCUUAUGAAAUCUGCUGUCUGAAACUUGUUAAAACAUUUUUACGCAACGACAUUUUGUAUGGUAAUUUGGAAUACUUUCCCUAGAUCUCUACGUUCAUUUUGUUUGACAAAUAUUUUGACCACGGAGCCCACUAUUAAAUGAGAACAAUCUAUUAGAUUCAUGUAACUUUAGUAGUAAUCUAGUAGAUGAACUUGUGCGGAACCUGCUGUACGUUUAGUAAAAUGGUCUGGGUAAUGUCCUCUUUCAAUGAUUCAUGCAUGUGUGUGUCAAAUAAUUGUAGUUUGUGCUAUCAAAGAGGCCAUGCUCAAUUUGUAUUGGAUUUAUGGAAUAUUUUUUUGUGAAAAAGGAAGACUUGAAAGGAGAGUAUACAUGCUAAAUUUAUCACAUGUUUCUGAAAUAUUCUUUAGAUUUGAAUGAUUUUGUGAAAUUAGAAUUUUAUCAUGUUUAAAUUAUUGAAAUUAGUCACUGUAUAUAUUCCGGUUGGGGUUUAUUAAUAUAUACUUUGGUUAAUUGUUCUUUUUGUAUAUGCAUAUGUUUGCUCACAGUUGACCUUUUUUUUACAUUAGCAGGCAUGUUGAGGGGAGCGUGGACCAAACUGUUGCAUCCAUUCAGUGGCAAAUCGCUUAUCAUUUUCGAUGUUAGUUAUUGCAAGUUCAGUAACUUCAAUAUGACUUGUGAUGACUGAGGCGAGCGAAACUGGGAAAUUGUUCGCUUAUCUUCUUUCUACGUCGUGACAUGUGAUGAUUAAAACUGCUAAAUUAUAAUUACUCGGUUGUGUUAUAUGAUGAUUAAAACUGAUAGAUCAUAACUAUAUGAUGCAAUGCAUUUCCUCUCUAUUAUAUAAAUAAUUAUUGUUAGAUGCAUGGUUAAUGUUUAUGCAUGUUUUAGUUGUGCAAUUAUUGGGUUACUAAGGUACAACCUGCACUUUUGGUGUUAUUAUUGUUAUCUUGUGAUGUUAAUAUGUGUGGCUUGCUAGGAUUUGUCCUUGUUGCUUAGUGGAUUGUACAUAGUCGUACAUAGUCUAGUGUGUAUACAGGAUGUAUUUAAAAAAACUGGUACCAUGCUAAAACAUGAUCGCCAAAAUAAUGAAUCAUUUGUAUUUGGAACUGUUUGCAUACAUCUUUAGAAAGUAGGAUGUUGUCCAGUUUAUGGGCGAGUUUCUUAUAGUGAAUGAUAAUAAUGACUGCUGUGUUGUUCUCGCACAGUGUUGGAUUUGAAAAUAAUGGAUCAACUUUCACAUUCUAUAUUUAGUUUCCAUGUGGACAAAGAAGAAAUAUAUAAAAUUUAUGUCGCCUUUGUUGCAUACUUCUAAAUUUGUAUCUUCAUUUAGUAAAAAGGAUGGUGAUAGUUUAGUACUCGGUUCUCUUUGUACUCCCGGAUAAAUGAAUUAUACCAUGUACAACAGAGUACUAUGAAGUUUCUUAGUAAAAUGAAUCAAGUGUUCUGUAAGCACCAGUGCUUAUAUCUAUGGCGGGGGUGCCUAAUUAGACAUAUGCCUUUCACAAAUAAGCACUAAUGUUCAAGUGAAAACUGGUCUAUUUUAUGAGCACCACGAGAAGCAACUUGCAUUGUAUGCUAUCUUAUAAAAGAUAAGAAAGAGAUGGUAAUGUAUUUUAGGCUUAGGAGUCAUAAUCUUAUCAGGGUGCGCAUUGACCAUAGUGUAGUUUGGAAAGUCAGUUUGCUUGUCCAUCCUUUUUGCAUUGCGACAUAUGAUGAUUAAAACUACUAGAGUAUAAUUACUUUGAAUUUGGUACAUAUAUAGAUAUAUGCCUUAGUGUUAAUGUUAUUUUAGUUGUAAGAUGGUUGUGCUACCAAGUUAGGCCUGGUGAUGUGAUGCUGACUUGUGUGCUGUUUUUUUAUGUAAGGUGUUUUUCAAUGUUUUACUAAUAGCAUGAAGUGGAUGAUCAUCGAAAUAUGAAUCGUUAGUGUUAAAAGUUAGUUGCAUGGUUCUGUAGUAUGUACAAUGUUGCCUAAUCUAUUAGCAAGUUGCAUGCGGUGAAAUGAAUAUGAUGACUAGUUGGUCCUGUUUCAUAUACCUCUGAACUUUUUUUAGUUCUACAAACGAACUAGUUUUCAGAAAGUGAUGCGAUUUAAAUAAAUAAUACAUUUGAUUCAACUAAAGAGGAUUGGAGGGUACCCCGAGGGUAUCACCAAUUUGAACCCCUACAACUAGAUGGUAAAGUUAGUAUCACAAGUCAUAUUUUUUUUUUGGGAACGCAACAAGUCAUAAUCUUAGCACAGUGCGCAUUGAUCUUAGAGUGUACUUCCGUAAGUCGUUUGCUUAUCCUUUAUUGUGUUGCAAUAUAUGAUGAUUAAAUUUGCUAGACGACAAUUACUUAAUAUAUUUAGUAACUAUGAGUGUUUGCCGUUAGAUGUAUGGCUUGAUGUUAAUGUUGUUUUAGUUGUGAGAUGGUUGGCCUACUAAGCUAUGUCGUUAUUAUUAUCCUGUGAUGUUAACUCGUGUGAUUAUGUGGUUUUGCCUUGUUGCUUGGUUUGGUCUACAUAUACUACGUAUGAGGGCAUGGUUGUGUGGUUUUGCCUUGUUAAUUGUUUUAUUGUACAUAGACUACAUAUGAGAGAGUGCUUUCAAAAUUUUACUAGUAUCAUGCAGUAGUUAGAUACCAACGAAUAAAUUGUUAGUAUUAAAAGUUGUUUGCAUUGAUCCAUAGGAUUAGCAUGUUGUUUAAUUUCUUUUGAGGUGUCUAUAGUGAAAUGAACAUGAUGACUAUUUUGUUAUGCCGGUAGAGAAUAUUAAAUUUAAAAAUAAUAGGUCAAUUUGUAGAUUCUUUAUUUAGUUCUAUGGGGAUAGAGACAAAAAAUGGCGCUCAGUAGAUAUUUCUAAAUUUGCAUCCUAAUCUAGUAAAUUUUGUGAUAGUUCACUAUUGGGUUCAUUUUGCGUUACACUGUCAUAUGACAUGCAUGCUUAAGAAAAAACAACAAAGGGAUGCAUAUGUUCAAGUGUAUAUGUGGAUUGUCUAGCCCUUUCCACCAGUUUGGACUAUUGGUUGCGUUGGCUAGUUAUGAAGAUUAACAUGAUAUUAGAGCCCAAGGUCUUGAGUUCAAGUCCUGGCUUUCAUAAUUUAUUCAAAAAUUGCUGCUGCUUGUCUUUGUGAUUACGUAUAUCUUAAGCCAUACCUUCGAGUCGAUUCACGUGUUCACUUACUGCGUUACACGUGAGAGGGGGUGUUGAAGUGUAUAUGUGGAUUGUCUAGCCUUUUUCAUCAGUUUGUACUUUUGGUUGCUUUGUGUAGUGCAUGAAGCUUAAUAGCACGAUACUAUCAUAGUGCACAUUGACCGAAGAGUGUCGAUUUAUUUCUUUGUGCUUGUUGUCUACUAUAUAUUUUAUGUUGGUUUUUAUCAUGAUUGGGAAGUCUCAUGUUAUUGAUGCCUUGUUGUUUUUCCAGGAAAAAAAAGGAAUGCAAUAUUCAAUUACUUUACUGUGUUUUGGAGAUAUAAUUUAAGUUAUUUGAGGAUUGGAGAUAUAAUCUAAGUAACCUGAGGAGGAAGAUUACAGUUUACAGGAACAAUGACAUGAUGUAUCAGGCAAGUUUUUUUGUGAGAGAGUUCCCAAAUGUUUGAUAAGCUUGUAAUGCUCCAUGGUUUUUAUUAUCUAAUGAAGUUAGAUUUGUGUAGACUUGCGUGGUUAUGCCAUCAUUACUUGGUUAUUCGUACAUAAAAUAUGUAUGAGUGAGGUGUUUUCAAAAUUUAAUAAAAUUUAUUAUAAUGUUUUUUAAAUGAUUCAUUAUUUUUAAAAGAAUACAGUUUACGAGAAUAUUAACAUGAUGUAUCAGACAAUUUUUUUAUGAGAGUUCCCAAAUGUUUGAUAAGCUUGUGAUGCUCCAUGUUUAUUAUUAUCUAAUGAAGUUAGAUCUGUAUGGACAUGUGUGGUUAGGCCAUCAUUGCUUGGUUAUCCGUACAUGAAAUAUCUAUGAGUGAGAUGUUUCCAAAAUUUAAUACAAUUUUACUGUAAUGUUUUUUAAAUAAUUCAUUAUUUUUAAAGACAACUGUAGUGAAUGAAAUGAAUAUAAUGACUAUUUAUUUUACUUAUGUUAAAUAUUAAUAACAGUUGAAUUUUAUACUGUUUAUUUAGUUCAAUAAUGAUAGGUUUUUUAAACAUUUAUAAAUUUGAAAUAUUUAUUCACUAUGGUAGUAAACUAUUUUGUUCAUUUUGCGUUGUACGACUAGAUGAAAUUCAUGCUUAAGAAAUAUAUAUAGGAAGCCAUAUAAUACUAUCAUAGGGUGCACUAGCCAAAAAGUGUGAUUUUAUCUGUUUUAUGGUUAUUUUGUUUUCUUAAUCAUGAUUAUGGUAUGUCUAUAUAAUGAUGCCUUUUGUUUCUCCAGGAAACACAAUGAAUGUUCACUUAUUCAACUACUUUACAGUGUUUGCGAGACAUAACUUAAGUUAUGUGAGGAGGAAUGACCUUAUUGUUUUGUUAAUUAUAUUUAUAUUAUGUAUGAGUGGGGUGUUUUUUUUUGUUACUAAAAUCAGGAUAUAGUUAAUUUUAAAAAAUGAGUUGUUAUUAUUAAAAAUGUUUUCAGUGAGUGUCUAUUGGCAAGAUGACUGUAGUCAAUGGAAUGAAUAUGACGACUCUUUGUUCUAAUUGUGAUAGAUUUAUAAAUGAUAGUUUAACUCUAUUAGAUUCUCUAUUUAGUCCAAUGAUGUCAGUUUUAGACAUUCCUAAAUUUGCAUGUUUAUUUUGUCAUAAUUUUUGUACUGCACUAUUGGGUUCAUUUUUGCGUUAUAGCACCAAUGAAAUGCAUGUUAACUAUUAGGUGCACUUAAUCAUUUGAUGUGCCUUGUUCUAUAGGAUAUUUAUUUUGCAAUAUUCAAUUACUUAGUUAGUGUUGAAAGGCAUAGCAUAAGUUAUGUGAGGAGGAAGAGUAGAGUACAACAUGUAAGGGAGCAGUGACAUUAUCAGAUUUUUUUUUCCUGUUGAGAGUCACCAAGACAUCUGAUAAGGCCUGUGGUGCUCUAUGGUUGACAUUAUCAGUAGCAGCCUAACAAUCUGGAUGGUAACACUGGUUUGGUGUGGGGAUUGCGCAACAAAUGAUAUCAAAUCCAGGUACUAGUAUUUGUAUUGUUAAUUUGAAGGUCAAUAAUGUGCUUUUUUGUUGUUGGACAAUAAGCAUUUUUAUUCAUACAUAAAACUAAAUUGUGGGCUUGUCUUAGUUGCCAAUGGAUGUUUAUGUUUCAGGAAUAAUUCAAUUAAGUGUAGGAGAUGAGAACGCGGAGGACCAGCUUCAUCAACUAUUGAAGCUGCUGCUGGUUUAAGGACUGAGAUGCUUAUGUCCACUGAAUUAAUCCUUGUAUUCAGUGAAGAAGAGGGGACGUCGUAGGACUGCUGCUGCUGGUUUAUUGACAUUAGGUAGCUGCUGCGACGCACCGCCAGAGUUGUUGUGUGUGCAUGUGUGCUUGUGUUGAGCCAGUUAUAAAAUAUAGUUGGGGAUCACAGAUCAUAUGAAAUGGAUUUUUACUGAAGGUAUUGGAAUUUAUGAAUUCAUAUGGAUUGAAUGCCAUUUUCUUAGAAUUGAAUUGAUUGAAAUAGGUGAUCAUUUAUUAUGCCACAACGUUGGAUCCUUGUCAGCAAAGUAUAUCAUUCCAGUCGUCUGCCAUUGAGAUUCACACCUUGUCUCAUGCAGUAGAC